UACGGGGGGGGCAAGCGUUGUUCGGAAUUACUGGGCGUAAAGGGCUCGUAGGCGGCCAACUAAGUCAGACGUGAAAUCCCUCGGCUUAACCGGGGAACUGCGUCUGAUACUGGAUGGCUUGAAUCCGGGAGAGGGAUGCGGAAUUCCAGGUGUAGCGGUGAAAUGCGUAGAUAUCUGGAGGAACACCGGUGGCGAAGGCGACAUCCUGGACCGGUAUUGACGCUGAGUGAGCGAAAGCGUGGGGAGCGAACAGG
rnacentral:rRNA from 1 species